UACAGAGGGUGCGAGCGUUAAUCGGAAUUACUGGGCGUAAAGCGUGCGUAGACGGUUAUUUAAGUCGGGUGUGAAAGCCCCGGGCUCAACCUGGGAAUUGCAUUCGAGACUGAAUAGCUAGGGUACGGUAGAGGGAAGUGGAAUUUCCGGUGUAGCGGUGAAACGCGUAGAUAUCGGAAGGAACAUCAGUGGCGAAAGCGACUUCCUGGACCAGUACCGACGUUCAGGCACGAAAGCGUGGGGAGCGAACGGG
rnacentral:rRNA from 1 species